GAAAAGAAACUAACAAGGAUUCCCCUAGUAACGGCGAGUGAAGCGGGAAGAGCUCAAAUUUGAAAGCUGUUGCCUUUGGUAACCGCAUUGUAAUCUCGAGAUCUGUUUUCCGCGCUGGACCAUGUACAAGUCCCUUGGAAUAGGGCGUCAUAGAGGGUGAGAAUCCCGUACUUGACAUGGCCUCCCAGUGCUUUGUGAUACAGGCUCAACGAGUCGAGUUGUUUGGGAAUGCAGCUCAAAAUGGGUGGUAAAUUCCAUCUAAAGCUAAAUAUUGGGGAGAGACCGAUAGCGAACAAGUACCGUGAGGGAAAGAUGAAAAGCACUUUGGAAAGAGAGUUAAACAGUACGUGAAAUUGUCAAAAGGGAACCGUUUAAAGUUAGUCAUGCUUGCCUGGACUCAGCCUUGCUUUUGCUUGGUGCAUUUCCAGGUUAGCAGGUCAGCAUCGGUUUUGACUGCUGGAUAAGGGUGAGAGGAAUGUGGCACCCUAGGGUGUGUUAUAGCCUUUCACUGGAUGCAGCAGUUGGGACCGAGGAACGCAGCGCGCCUUUAUGGCGGACCUUCGGGUACCUUCGCGCUUAGGAUGCUGGCAUAAUAGCUUUAAGCGACCCGUCUUGAAACACGGACCAAGGAGUCUAACAUGUCUGCGAGUCUUUGGGUGGCAAACCCAUAGGCGCAAUGAAAGUGAAUGCAGGUGGGAUCCUCACGGAGCACCAUCGACCGAUCCAGAUCUUCUGUGACGGAUUUGAGUAAGAGCAUAUAUGUUGGGACCCGAAAGAUGGUGAACUAUGCCUGAAUAGGGCGAAGCCAGAGGAAACUCUGGUGGAGGCUCGUAGCGGUUCUGACGUGCAAAUCGAUCGUCAAAUUUGGGUAUAGGGGCGAAAGACUAAUCGAACCAUUAACAGACUACAGGUGGUUAAUAGGCAGCUGAAAAGUGCUUGUCUAGUAUGGCCUACAGUGGGCAUGCGACAUCUUCCAAUUGACGGGGACAUCCUAAAGCCUUCAUCACCAAGCUAUCAUGGAAACGUGCAUAGUGGCCGAGCUAAUAGCCCUGGGUAUGGUAACAGUAUGAAGGAUGUAACAAUGGACAAUCCGCAGCCAAGCUCUACGUUGCAGCAAUGCAAUACGAGUGCAGUUCACAGACUAAAUGGAGAUGGGUGGCUUAGUGCUGCUUAAGUUAUAGUCGACCCCUUGCGAAAGCAAGCCAAGUUGAAUAAGAGUUGACAGGUUUCCCACUGUGUUAAUUGAACCCAACUCCCGAGCUUCUUGGGGCGUGCAAUGUAAAAGCCGCCGGAAUACGUGCUAGUAGCUGGUUCCUGCCGAAGUUUCCCUCAGGAUAGCAGAAACUCGCAUCAGUUUUAUGAGGUAAAGCGAAUGAUUAGAGGCCUUGGGGAUGCAACAUCCUUAACCUAUUCUCAAACUUUAAAUAUGUAAGAAGCCCUUGUUACUUAAGUGAACGUGGGCAUGCGAAUGAGAGUUUCUAGUGGGCCAUUUUUGGUAAGCAGAACUGGCGAUGCGGGAUGAACCGAUCGUGGGGUUAAGGUGCCGGAAUACACGCUCAUCAGACACCACAAAAGGUGUUAGUUCAUCUAGACAGCAGGACGGUGGCCAUGGAAGUCGGAAUCCGCUAAGGAGUGUGUAACAACUCACCUGCCGAAUGAACUAGCCCUGAAAAUGGAUGGCGCUUAAGCGUGUUACCCAUACCCCACCGUCAGCGUUAGAGCGACGCGUUGACGAGUAGGCAGGCGUGGAGGUCAGUGAAGAAGCCUUGGCAGUGAUGC
rnacentral:rRNA from 2 species